rnacentral:tRNA from 1 species
AAGAUUUUAGUUUAAUUAAAGCAUCUGGGUUGCAUUCAGAAUAUGUGAGAUAGAGUCUUGCAAAUCUUA